GCGACAUGGCCAAGUGGUAAGGCAGAAGCCUGCAAAGCUUUUAUCCCCCGGUUCGAAUCCGGGUGUCG
rnacentral:tRNA from 1 species